GACAAUGUGAGGAAAGUCCGUGCAUCCAAGGACAGAUCGCCGGAGAAACUCCGGACGGCGUGAGCCGGUGGAUUAGGACCACAGAAAACAUACUGCUAACGGCUAAUUAGUACGAGCGAUGGUGCAACGGCGAGGUAAGAGCUCACCGGCGAUGUCGAGAGGCAUCGGCCAGGCAACCCCCGAUAGGAUGCAAGAUUAACUCGAAGGUUUUAAAGGCUGUCCGCCCACUUCGGAAAUAUCGCUAGAGAUUGCGGGUAACCGUAAUACCAGACAGAUGAUUAUCUAUAAACAGAACACGGCUUACGGGCUGCUUUA
rnacentral:RNase_P_RNA from 1 species